rnacentral:rRNA from 1 species
GAUUGAACGCUAGCGGGAUGCUUUACACAUGCAAGUCGAACGGCAGCGCGGACUUCGGUCUGGCGGCGAGUGGCGAACGGGUGAGUAAUAUAUCGGAACGUGCCCAGUAGCGGGGGAUAACUACGCGAAAGCGUGGCUAAUACCGCAUACGCCCUACGGGGGAAAGGGGGGGAUUCUUCGGAACCUCUCACUAUUGGAGCGGCCGAUAUCAGAUUAGCUAGUUGGUGAGGUAAAGGCUCACCAAGGCGACGAUCUGUAGCUGGUUUGAGAGGACGACCAGCCACACUGGGACUGAGACACGGCCCAGACUCCUACGGGAGGCAGCAGUGGGGAAUUUUGGACAAUGGGCGCAAGCCUGAUCCAGCAAUGCCGCGUGAGUGAUGAAGG